rnacentral:rRNA from 1 species
CCAACAGGCGAUUGCCUUAGUAACGGCGAGUGAAGCGGCAACAGCUCAAAUUUGAAAUCUGGCCCUCGGGUCCGAAUUGUAAUUUGUAGAGGAUGAUUUUGGUGCGGUAUCUUCCGAGUUCCUUGGAACAGGACGCCUUAGAGGGUGAGAGCCCCGUACGGUUGAAUGCCUAGCCUCUGUAAAUCUCCUUCGACGAGUCGAGUAGUUUGGGAAUGCUGCUCUAAAUGGGAGGUAAAUUUCUUCUAAAGCUAAAUAUUGGCCAGAGACCGAUAGCGCACAAGUAGAGUGAUCGAAAGAUGAAAAGCACUUUGAAAAGAGGGUUAAAUAGCACGUGAAAUUGUUGAAAGGGAAGGAUUUGUGACCAGACUUUUUCUGGGCGGAUCAUCCGGGGUUCUCUCCGGUGCACUUUGCCCAGUAAAGGCCAGCAUCGAUUUUCGGCGGCGGAUAAAAGCAGUGGGAAUGUGGCUCCCUACGGGGAGUGUUAUAGCCCAUUGUAUAAUACGCUGCUGGGGAUCGAGGUACGCGCUUCUGCAAGGAUGCUGGCGUAAUGGUUAUCAAUCACCCGUCUUGAAACACGGACCAAGGAGUCGAACAUUUAUGCGAGUGUUUGGGUGUUAAACCCUCACGCGUAAUGAAAGUGAACGGAGGUGAGAGCCCGUACGGGUGCAUCAUCGACCGAUCCUGAAGUUUUCGGAUGGAUUUGAGUAAGAGCAUAACUGUUCGGACCCGAAAGAUGGUGAACUAUGCGUGGAUAGGGUGAAGCCAGAGGAAACUCUGGUGGAGGCUCGCAGCGGUUCUGACGUGCAAAUCGAUCGUCAAAUCUGCGCAUG